rnacentral:rRNA from 1 species
CAGUAGCCACGGUAAUACGAAGGGGGCUAGCGUUGUUCGGAAUUACUGGGCGUAAAGCGCACGUAGGCGGACAUUUAAGUCAGGGGUGAAAUCUCGGGGCUCAACCCCGGAACUGCCUUUGAUACUGGGUGUCUAGAGUAUGGAAGAGGUGAGUGGAAUUCCGAGUGUAGAGGUGAAAUUCGUAGAUAUUCGGAGGAACACCAGUGGCGAAGGCGGCUCACUGGUCCAUUACUGACGCUGAGGUGCGAAAGCGUGGGGAGCAAACAGGAUUAGAUACCCCCGUAGUCCCUGUCUCUUAUAC